ACAAGCUUUCGGUAUCGGAGCUAUACUGGCAUGGCGCUCCCACUGUCGCUAACUGCACUCCCUGGAGAAAUAUUGGCUGAUUUUUGGAGGAAGGAGGAGAAUAUUUCAGACAGGAGCAGACAGAAGGGGUACAGUACGCAUUUGAAGGAUAUAUUCACGAUGUCAUGCUCACUCGGCAACGAAAUAAUGCUCAAAGCAUAAAGAUAGAAGCCAAAGCUAAGCUUACAAGUCGCAGAGCAAAAGUGAACCACCGCAUCACCUGGUGAUUGAGACGGAGGACAACAACAUUCAGGAGCAACACUGUUCCUCUAAAGCUGGCUCCACAGGUUUCUGCGCCCAUGUCAUCGACUUCAUACAUAGUCUGGGCCUCUGCAAAGCGCAAAACAUCAGCAGUGUGUCAGCCCAGUCCUUUACAAGCUUGCCACAACAGUGGCAUAAGCCAAGGGGAGUAAAAAUCACGCCACAGCCGGUAACAGCUGUUGUGGUGGCAAAAGCAAAGGCUGACCGAAAACGGAAACCCAUCUUUUGUAACUACAGCAAUGACAGCUCCCUCUACUGGACAACACUAGGCCAAUAUCCCCCCCAUCAAACCCUACUGAUGAUUUCCCAGUAUUCCCUUUGCCGCUACAGCCAAGCAAUUUCUCUACAGUCCUAACAAAAGACCAGAUGGAAUGCUACAAUGACGUGAUGAUCUCAAAGUCCGAAUCAGAGGCACUGGAGAAAGAAACCAGACAACAGAGCAGUAACAAUAUCUGGCAUCGUGUCCGCUCUCCUCGUCUUACUUCAUCCUCUUUCAAGAGAGUAUGCUCCAGGAAAGCAGACUUCGAGCAGCUUGCCAUCAGCAUGCUGAUGAAGAAGAAGUCAGUACAAACCAAAGCAAUGAAGAGAGACCUGGAGCUUGAGCCAGUUGCUGCAGCCCAAUACACAGAAGUCAUUGGAAACCAAGUUCAGAUGUGUGGCUUUGUCGUGAAUCCCAACGCCCCCCAUUUAGGUACUUUUCCUGACAGGAAAGUCGUUCAGAGCGGCGGCAACAAAAGCUAUGGACUACUAGAAAUAAAGUGCCCGGACCAACAUAGCUACACAGGUUGUCAAUACCUCCAGAAGCACAGUGGUGACACCUACAGACUCAAACAUAACCAUCAAUUCAAUCAAUCAAUCAAUUUUAUUUAUAAAGCCCAAUAUCACAAAUCACAAUUUGCCUCACAGGGCUUUACAGCAUACGACAUCCCUCUGUCCUUAUGACCCUCGCAGCGGAUAAGGAAAAACU